AUGGCGUCUGCAUUUCCAAAACAUAUUAUGGAUGUUAUAGAUGCCUCAUUAAAGCAGGAGGCAGAUUCAUGGGGCUCAAGUUGUGCUUUACAAAGGCUUGGUCAAUGCUGCAUUGAAAUAGUCGAGGCAGUGUUGAAGUGCACGAUGAGAAUCCACAAGAAACAACAAUCUGUCUUUGGUAAGGCUGAAGAAUGCUUUGAAGGAACAAGGAUAUUAAAGACCAAGCAUGGUAAAGAAGAUAUAUGGUUGGUGAUUAAAUAACAAGGAUAUUGGCUGAUUUGGUUUGUAACUGAGCUUCCAAUUUGCUCUUGCAAUCACACACACACAGCUUCUGUAAAUCAUUUUGUAAAACAGGGUCAAGUAAGAGAACUUUCAAGAAAUUGGAAAGUAUUCAGUAUUUUGUCAGCAGUUAUAUGCAUAAUUCAAAACAAACAGAAUGCGGCCUGGACUAUAGGUUAGUUACCUAAAUCCAAACAAUAAAAGAACAUAAUAUGGGGCGUGAAAAGUGAGUGCACUAGCUAUCAAGUUCCAAAGGGGUCGUGAAUGAAAAUUCUGUAAGGCCAAGUAAUUAAUUUAUUAGCAAGACACCGUGGCAAACGGGGGCAAAGCCAUGUGAAAAGUGGUAGUGAUGUUACUGCCUAGUUGGAUUUUGUUAAUUUAAGGAUUAAUGGAAUGACAAGUGACAUUAAUCCAUUAAGUUUCUAACAGUUAGCAAGCAAGUGGGUAGUAGCCUCAAGAAAGUUACAAAUAAAUAAAUACGAGGACAUGUGCCAAGAAGCCAUAGGCAGAAAGGAAAUAGUUGCCUUGAAGUAGUUAAAAGAGAUUACCAAGCCUUGUUUGUAAGAAAACACUGUGCAAAAGAAAUCAACUAGGGAGUAGCAUGUGAAAAGGGAAACCAAGCAUAACCGCUAAAGCUGCAAGUAUAAAUAGAAACUCAUUUUACAUGAAAGGUUUACCAUGUACAACCGAGAAGUCAUUAUAACACUUCUGAAAACAUUUGUACUUAGAUUCUUAAGAGACCAAGUAGUUCUUAGGACUUGUACUUGUAAGUUGCUUCCCUUGUAAUUGUGAUCUUAUUUAAUUAAGUAUUUGUCAAGUUUGAUGCAAUAUUUACUAUUUAGGUGUUUGUUUAUAUUUUAUAUGAAUUCUUGCUUGUUCAAAUAAGUUUUAUGUGAGAUUGAUGACUUAGGCUUUAAUCUAUUGUGAUCAUUGCAAUUUAGUUUACUUUGAGAUGAUGCACAUCAAAUUUAAUUUAGCAUGAUUAGGUUUACUUCAAAUCAAAGCUCUUUGACUUAGUUUGUUUAGGAUCAAUCACUUUGAAUCAGUUUAAUUUACUUCAAAUCAAUGUCAAUAGAGACAACUUAGGCUUGGGAAUUUAAUUUAGUCACUUAGGAUUGAUGAUCAGUCAUGGGCAGGAGACAAGAUUUCUUAUUAGAUGAGAUUAGAUGGAAUGAGAUUUUACAUAGUGUGACAGUACAUAUACGUUUAGAUAUACAACAACAACAAAGUCUUAGUCCCAAAACUUAGGGUUAGCUAUGGAUCCUCGACAAAUUAGAUUGGGUCGAUCACAUGAAUUCUUUCUCUCCAGUGUAUCCUAUCUAAAGUCUUGCUUUUUGUUACUUCCUUAAUUGACAUCUUUUUUGUUUAAUUACUUCUACUAAUGUUAUUUUUUUGACAUUUCUCUACUGUUAUUGCAUUUCCUCAACUAAGAUUGAUUCAAUCUCUUUCUUACUAGUUUGUUACUAGCUUUUCUUUAAAUAUGAUCAAAUCAUCUCAAGUGACUUUCUCUCAUGUUUAGAUAUAGAUUUAAUUAAAUUUUAAAGUUAAGGGAUGAAAAUAAUAUAAUUAAUAGUUGAAGGAUUUAUUGCGAAAAUUAAAAGUUAAAACUUAUGCAAAUUAAUAUAUAAGGAAGAAAAUGAAACUGAAAUAAAUGUAUGUAGACCAAAAUUUUAGUUUGAAAAAGAAAAAGAAUAGAGUAUACCUUUAACUCUUAAAAUUUGAUAUUAUUUCUAUUUUAUUCCUGUAUGUUUGAUUAUGUUUUUAUAUUUGCCCAUGCCAUCUAUUUUCAUUACUAAUCUAACCGUCCAUAUUUGUUUUUGCUUUAAGAAUGAAUUUCCUACAUUCUACGUCAUCUUUUUUGAGACCAAAUUCCAUAUCAUUUUUAAAACUAUCAUUUAAUGAAAUACUUAAACAUAAACAUUUGAAGGCUAUUUAACAAUUAUAUUAUUGUGGGUUUCCAUUCUCAAAAAAAAGAUUAUUGUGAGUUUCAGUUAGCUAACCUGGUAAAGUCUAUGAUAGUUGAAUAAAAGAUCUCAGGUUUAGUCACCCCUUAUACCAAAAACUAAUUGGUGUCUUGGUCAGAUGAUAAAGAACUAUUAUCGAGAGCGGAUGUCAUAGGUUGAAACUCUUAAAAAAAAAAUAAUUAAAUUAUUAAAUUGAUUGUAAGACGAAUAUGAAGACGAAAUCCAACAUAAAAGUGAAAAAUGAAAAUUUUGAACUUCCAAAAAAGCCAAACUUUAAAGGAUCAAAAUGUACUUAUCAAAAAAAUAGAGAAGGUAAACAAAGACAAAGCCCAAAAUGGAGAAAAAAAAAGUACUAAGAAAAGAAAUAAAUAAAGCAUCAAAUUAUCCACAUUAUAGUCUGAAACAUGUGGCACUGUAAUGCCACUGCCACAGGGAGAGAGAUGGAAUGUUUUCGUCUAUGCAGUUCAACUUCAACCCCUUCAACUCUCCGAUUUCAUAAAGCCGUUAUCAAUCUUAACGGUCACAAUUUUCCCUCUAAUUUUAAAAACUCAAAAUUAUUUUGUCCUUCUCUUUCAACUCCUAAAUACACACUGAAUUGCAAUUGCAGAGAGAGGACCAAAGGGGAGGCUCCUCUGUCCAGUACUUCAGCUUACGCCGUGCUCGGCGUCGAGCCCGACUGCUCUGCCGCCGAGCUCAAAGCCGCUUUCCGAGCCAAAGUACAAUGAUUUAUAUCUUAUUCGAACAAGUUUUUGCUUUCCUUUUUUAUGUGUUUGAUUUCCAAGAAAAUUUAACAAAAAAAAAAAAAAAAGAGAAGGAUUUUUGAGUUCUGGGUUUUGUUGUUUUGGGAUUUGGUUGCCAAGAAAAUUGAGGAAAGAAAAAAGGAGUUUUGGGUUAUGGGGUUUUGCUGUUUUUUAGUUUGGUUUCCGGGAAAAUUGAGAAAAUAUUAAUGAAAUGGAGUUUUGAGUUAUGGGUUUUUGUUAUUUUGGAGUUUGGAGAAAUGAAGAACUCAGGUAAGCCAAUAGGGUCUUUUUUUUUUUUUUUUUUUUUGGUCCCAAAAAAUGGCAACUUUGUGAUNUAGGGUUUUUUUUUUUUUUUUUUUUUGGGUCCCAAAAAAUGGCAACUUUGUGAUUGAAAUUUAUAAUUUGGAAUAUUUUAUAAAUUUCCAUAGCCAAAAAAAAAGAAAAGAAUAGAAAAGGAUUGAUGUUUAUUGGGGUAAUCGGAAGAUAUGAUUUUGAUGAUAGACAAAUCAUUAUUAAUGUGUUUACCAAAAUAAAUAGCUAUAAUUAUUUGUGUUUACAUAUGUGUGUCUAUAUAUAUAUAUAUAUAUAUAUAUAUUAGAGAAUUUGUGUUUAUAUUUGUAUGCCUAAUUUUUUCUUUUCUGUAAUUUCAAUUUUGUUACAAAGGUGAAGCAAUUCCAUCCUGAUGUGAAUAGAGAUUUGGCAGAUUCUGAUUCAAUGAUUCGCCGUGUAAUUGAGGCAUAUGAGGUACUAAUAUUUACAAAAACCUACCAAAUUAGUUUCUUUCCCAUUAUGUUUAUCUUUUUCUUUUUUCCUUCCAAACAUUAGUACAUUUUAUGUGUGGUGGAAAGAGAAAAGUAAAUUAGGGGUUUGAUGCGAAAUGUUGAAUUAAGAUAGUGUGAGGAAACUCUCAUUUUCAUUGGUUAUAAUUGGUCCAGAAAUUUUUUUUUUUCUUUUUUUCAAGAAACAAACACACACACAAGAAAGAGGGAAUGGGGUUCCAACACAAAAAGGUCGUUUCACCAAUCUCAUGUUGUUGUAAUAAUGUUUUGAAUUUUUUUUUUUUUUUGGAAUCUUGUUAAAUCCAGUCAAUACGGAUAAGUUUAUAGAUUUCAUUAUUGGUUUUGGAAUCCCACAUAGUUUAGAUAAAUAACAAGGAGAUGCAUUAAUUCUUAUCAAGAAUGUUAGUCCCACAUUGGUAUGAAAAGAAACAGGGAGAUGACAUAGUCCCUAUACAUUGAGUGGUGGUGUAGUUUUUGUUUUAUGCGUGUAGGAGUUAGACAUCAAAGAUUUGUUUUGUGUUCAGUGUGAGAAACUUGUGAGAGGUAUGGUGGUCAUCUUGUUUUAAGUAAUUUUGCAUUAGCAGUUGCUAUAUUCUAUGAAUAAAAUAUAGGUGCAAUACCUUAGGUGCAUUACAUUAGGCUCUCAAAUUUUCAAUGCAACCAGAUGCUUUACUACUAAGGCACUCGACCUAAGUUUUACUAUAUGUUAUUUGCAGCAUCCUUUUAUUUUUAAUUUUUAAUUUUUACUUCUACAAUACUUGUCACUACUGAUUGUACCUAGUGAUUGUUUUGGGCUUGAAAAUAUGUGCAGAUAUUAUCAAACUACAGCCGAUCAGAGAUUAUUGAGAGGUAAACCUGUUACCAUGUUUCUUGAAUUUUAGCAGUGAUGUGCUAAGAUGUGCUUAUUUUUUCAUUUUAAUUUAUUCUUCCUUUUUCGUUUGCCCAAGCUAUAUCCAUUCAGUUGUUGAUUAGGAAUGAUUAAUUGUUGUUUGCUACAAGUACUCAAGCAUUCUAACGAAACUGCCAACUUUCUGAACAGUUAUUAAUAAUAUAUUGUUCUUUACUUUUGAUAAUGUAUCUGGGUAUACUGUAUAGAGUAUUAACUGAUGCGUGGUAUUUUGCUAGCCCAGCUCACAAGCAAAUACAUAUUUCAUAAAAAUUGAGUAAAAUGACUUUCUAUAAAUAAUAAUCAUUUCAUUUGAGAACUUAAUGAUGUAAUCUAUAUGUACUUCAUUAUUUACCUGUUGUUUCUUUCAUUGUACAAUUUAUCUUUCAUUCUUACCAUUGAGGUUCCAUUUUGUAGGGAAUGUAUAGAUCCAUUCGAAAAACCAGAAUGUGAAGCCUUUGAUAUCUUUGUUAAUGAGGUUCUCUGUGUUGGCAAAGGUACUGCUGCAUUCAUUUUAUUCUAGAAUACACUUGAUGGAUCUAUUGUUACCAUAUUGCUUGCACAUACCUACCACAAAAAGAGACACCCCUGGUCAUUACCACGUGCACAAAGUACUCUUUUGCUAUUCUACCUAUUUCUGAAGAUCAUAUGCUACUCCCUCUGUUGAGGCCAGUUCAGGCUGUGGAUUUUUUUUUUUAUAUUUAAUUUUUUAAUACUCAACGCUAACAUCUGUACAAUCUGAAACACAUACACUGCUUACUGAAAAUAUCCAAUGAAAUUUUAGAAAUAUGACCUCUUUUCAUGUCUCUUAAUUUUGUGCUAUUAUGCAAAUUUGAUAAACUGAGAAAUGCUUGUUCAAUCAUAUGACCAUAUUCUAAAAUUUUUUAUAAUUAAAAAAUUACUACAUCAAAGGAUUAUCAACCUUUCAGGAUGAGUGUACUGCCAUAUUUGUGAAAAUCACUUUAUUAAAAAAAGAAUCCAUUUGAUGUUUAUCAUUUAACUUAUUUUUCUAAUCAAAAUGUGAUAUCUUUUGUUCUUCCUCUCCCACUCAUCUAUGCAAUUUUCGAAUCAUCUGCAGGGUGUCCAUAUUCAUGUGUAAAAAGGGCACCUCAUGCCUUCUCAUUUGCAUCUACUGGAAGUGCUAGGGUGUCUUCACAAGGUUGGUUAAUUCUCUUAUUUUUCCAUUCCUUGUGAGCUUGUAUGUUGUUAGAGUAUUAGGUGCUAGGAUGAGAGCAUAUAUAAAGGUUGCUCUUGUGAAUAGUGCCAAGGCAGCUAAUGGUUGAACUAUAUCGUCUCAAACAAGAGCCAGGGAAAUAUUGAUGAUUUUUUUUCCACACAUGCAAUAUCUGUGGGAUCAAAUUUCACUAUAUGAACCAACAUGGAUUAUGCAUGCAAUGCCCAAAAUUUCGUGAAUACCAGGAACAACUGAAAAAGAUUUCUGUUUUGCCUUCAAUUGAAAAAGUUUUCAAGGAGCUUGUACAAGAGGUAACAUUUACAAGUCUUCUGAUCUUGGCCACGUCAUCCCUUGAUCCACCUUCAGCAUCUAAUCAGAUAUCUGCAACUCGUCAGAAUGAGUGCUUUGAUCGCUUUGGCUCUCUGCGAUCUAACUCUAAAUACGAUCAUUCUCACUUCUGCACGUUCUGUAGGAUUUGAGAACAUUUUAUUGAAUAUUGAAGAAAGCAUGCCUGUGUCUCUCAAUCCUCAGCUGCCAUGGCCAACAUCAACAGCAUAACAUUGCAUCCUCCAACUCCAUCACCCAACGCCAGUAGUUUUGGCAAGACUUGCAACUCAUGUUUACACUAACGGCAAUUGGCCUAAAGACUCCUUUCAAUAACGUUUUGUCCCAUUCUCAGGGUGCAUCCUCUUCUAUUAUUUAUGUUGCACUAGUUAAACACUCAUUUUGAUAUCUUGACCUUGCUUGCGGCAGUCAUAUUGCUCCUGAUUCUACCUCUUGUACUAUACAAACCCAUACUUUUCAUAUGCCUAUCAAUCGCAUUGCCAGUGGCUCCACUAUGACCAUUAUAGGCAUCGUUUCUACUGCUCAAUUAUCUAUUUCAAAUGUUUGUCUUAUGCCUAAAUUUUCGUUAAAUUUCUUUUAUGUUGGUCAAUUGUGUGAGCUAGGGCUUCACAUAAGAUUUUCUUCUAUUGGUUGUGUUGUACAGAAUCCUCAGAUAGCACAGACCAUUGGGACAAAACUUUAAGUUGGAUGGCUUUUUCUUCUUACACCUUCACACGUAGUUGUCUUUGUUACAUCCACUCACACAGUAUCACCUCUUUGGAGUUGUGGUAUUCACGGCUAGGUCAUGCUUCUCUAUAUUGGGUCCAAACUUUAGUGUCUAACAGGUCUCUUUUUGAUCCUUUGAUUGUUAUCUCAUCCUAUCUUGGAAAACAAUAGGCUUUGCCUUUUAACAAAAGUGAGUCUUUUGUGUCUGCGCCAUUCAAGCUCAUUCACUCUAAUGUAUGCAGAGAAUCUCCUAUUCCUACUAUGGGGGGGCUUUGUCAGUUUUCUUGAUGACUUUUCAUGUUACACAUGGAUAUUUUUUUAUUAAAAUUUUUCUGAGAUAUUUGAUAUUUAUCAUGAGUUUACCAAAAUGAUUGAAGGUUCUCAAAAUCCAUCAAAAUCUACUGAUUUGAAAAUAUCCUAUAGUACAAAAUACAUGACUUCCUAGUGUUUGCAAAUUAUAUAGAAUCAUUUCUUAUGCAUCUUAUUGAAGAGCUUCAUACAAAAAUGGUUGAGUAAAAUGUAAACUUCGAUAUAUUUUGUUUUUCAUACUCAUUCUUUUUGCAUCUAUUAUUGCAUCCUUCUCACGCAAAAUUGCACCCGCUGUUAUCCAUAGAGGACAAGAAAUUUUUUGCUUUAAUAAUAUAGCCGCUUUACAGGAUGGUGUUAAGGAUAUUUUAGAAAAAGAAAGUAGAAGAAUUUGAAGAAAGGCACAAGUUGCCAGUUUGGCCUUUUAUUCAUUAGGUAGUUCUAAUAGUAUUAUAACUACUUUUAACAUUAAUUUGAUCAAAUGAUAUUAAUUAAGUUUCAGCUUUCAAACAUAUAUAUGUGUAUAUGAUUAGGUCAUGGUGAAGACUACCAAGUUCAGCUCGCAGUAGGUCAGUGUCCAAGAAGUUGUAUCCAUUACGUUACGCCUUCACAGAGGAUUAUCUUAGAGGAGCUACUAGACAGGUAGGUAGUCAUAUCUCUUACCUUCCUGGAAAUCACUGUUGACUGUUGUAGGCGCAAAAAUUGAGACAAAUGAACUGUAUAUAAUCACUUCACUGUAGCCACACUUGUGAAAGAAAUAGAGCUAGCACGUGUUCUUGAUUCAGCUUGAUUAGUGUAUAACGUGCAUUCUCAUGCUCCAUAUCUAUUACAGCCAAUAAACAUACACUUGUUUGUGCCAUGAAUAACCUUGAUGUGAUCACAUAUCACUGACACAUAUACUAUCUUACAAUUUUGGGAUAUUUAUGGCUUCUAACUAUGAUUUCUAUUUCUGGUUUAUUUGAUAUCUUAGUAUCUUGAGCAUGCCUUAUAAUUCAUCAGCCGAGGCAGAAUUGCUUUAUUCUCUUCUAGUUAAAGCCAAGUUUGAGAACAAUCGGUACCAAAAGCCGAAGAAGCAACCCAAAACUUCAACCCAACAUGUUGAUUGGUUUUAA
rnacentral:sRNA from 1 species